rnacentral:rRNA from 1 species
UACAGAGGGGGCAAGCGUUAUUCGGAAUUAUUGGGCGUAAAGGGCGCGUAGGCGGCCUGACAAGUGGAAGGUGAAAUCCCUCGGCUUAACCGAGGAACUGCCCUCCAAACUGUUUGGCUUGAGUCCGGGAGAGGUGAGUGGAAUUCCCAGUGUAGCGGUGAAAUGCGUAGAUAUUGGGAGGAACACCAGUGGCGAAGGCGGCUCACUGAACCGGAACUGACGCUGAUGCGCGAAAGCGUGGGGAGCAAACGGG